AAUACAUCCAGGGCACCUGGUUCUGUGGGUGCAGAGGGCUGAGAGCAGAGAAGGGCCUUGGCGGGGGAUGCAGUGUGGGGGGGAUGGCCCAUGGCUGAGGAUAGGAUGAAUGAAGCAAGGAGGGUCAGGGCCAGGAAGGCUGGCCUUGGGCAAUAGUCCAGGAAAGGAGUGAUAAGAGCCUGAUAGGAGCUGAAGGGGAGAGGACAGAAAGCAGUGCUGGGAGAUGGGGGCCGAGGAGGCAGAUGAGACCAGACUCUUCAGCGGAUUGGCUGCAGGGUGGGGCCAAGGCUCCAAAUCCAGUGAUGGAGCCUCACCUGGUGUGGGUCGCUGUGGAUCUGAGCAUAGGAGGCCACAGGGGAUCAUAGCUGGCGUGUCCCAAAUGCCCCUGAGUGAUGACACAAGAAUGUUUACAUCCAGAAAUUCCUUGUCCGGCCCCUCUCCCAGGAAUGCGCUGGGACCUAAAUUCUUCUGUACAGAGGAAAAGUGCAGCCCUUGGAUGGCCUCUGCAGCAUUGUUCCUUGGCAAACACAGGAAGCCCCUCGAGAGACUUCCCAUCACCCUGCCUUCUUGGAAGGAUCGUCCAGUGUGUCCCAUACGGGAACCCGGCCAAGGAGAGAAGAUGCCCAGGCGCUGGCUCAUCUUCCUCGGGUCAGGUCGGGUCGGGAGAGGCCUCUGGGCAGUCAUCUCCAUUGCCUCACAGCCCUCCAGCUAUGCGAGGAAUGCGAACCAUUUCCCAUGGGACCGGCAACCGCCAGGCAAUUCUGAGCCCAGCCUCCCCAAAUAUCUGCUUUGCAAACAGAUAAAACAGAGAAGCAUCCUGAAAAUGUGCUCUGCCGCCGCCGUUCACCUUAGGUGGCUGCGCAUGUCUGCUUG
rnacentral:lncRNA from 1 species